rnacentral:rRNA from 1 species
UACGGAGGAUGCAAGCGUUAUCCGGAUUUAUUGGGCGUAAAGCGUCCGUAGGUGGUUAAUCAAGUCUAUUGUCAAAGCCUGGGGCUUAACCCUGGAGAGGCGGUGGAAACUGGUUGACUUGAGUGCGGGAGGGGCAGAGGGAAUUCCCGGUGUAGUGGUGAAAUGCGUAGAUAUCGGGAGGAACACCAGUGGCGAAGGCGACUACCUGGCCUGUUCUUGACGCUGAGGCGCGAAAGCUAGGGGAGCAAACGGG